rnacentral:rRNA from 1 species
CCUACGGGUGGCAGCAGUGAGGAAUAUUGGUCAAUGGGCGCGAGCCUGAACCAGCCAAGUCGCGUGAGGGAAGACGGUCCUAUGGAUUGUAAACCUCUUUUGUCGGGGCGCAAAAGACGCCACGCGUGGCGUUCCGAGAGUACCCGAAGAAAAAGCAUCGGCUAACACCGUGCCAGCAGCCGCGGUAAUACGGAGGAUGCGAGCGUUCUCCGGAUUUAUUGGGGUUAAAGGGUGCGCAGGCGGAAGAUCAAGUCAGCGGUAAAAUUGAGAGGCUCAACCUCUUCGAGCCGUUGAAACUGGUGUUCUUGAGUGAGUGAGAAGUAUGCGGAAUGCGUGGUGUAGCGGUGAAAUGCAUAGAUAUCACGCAGAACUCCGAUUGCGAAGGCAGCAUACCGGCGCUCAACUGACGCUCAUGCACGAAAGUGUGGGUAUCGAACAGGAGUAGAUACCCCUGUAGUC